rnacentral:rRNA from 1 species
UACGUAGGGUGCAAGCGUUGUCCGGAAUUAUUGGGCGUAAAGAGCUCGUAGGCGGUCUGUCGCGUCGGCUGUGAAAACUCGGGGCUCAACCCCGAGCCUGCAGUCGAUACGGGCAGACUAGAGUGCUGUAGGGGAGACUGGAAUUCCUGGUGUAGCGGUGAAAUGCGCAGAUAUCAGGAGGAACACCGGUGGCGAAGGCGGGUCUCUGGGCCGUAACUGGACGCUGAGGAGCGAAAGCAUGGGGAGCGAACAGG